CGGGACUGGAACCGGCACUUGGCACCCCUUACGCCUUACGGUGGCCGCUGCGCCCAGUCACAUCUAUUGCAUUUCUCUGGAAUGACCACAGCAAUAUUUCCAGCCCUUGAUGAUCUUCUAGAACUUUGCCACUUCCCUGCAUCAAGAGGUAUAACCUCAUCCUGGAGCAGGGCACCCUAUCGUCAGAUGGUAUCAUCUUUAAGGGGUUGUCUCAGCCAUGCCUUUAGAAUUACCUUUCAUUGCUUGUCAUGCUGGAAGCUUCUGAAUGUUGCAUUUUGUGAUAGAAACAGUGGGUACCAUGGUCAUGUGCUCACAUCUCCUUUGCGGUAAAGAAAAGGAUCACUCAUUAACAUCCACCAGAUAACAUUCUCCAUGAAAGCACCAAAUAAACUAACCAGAAUUGGCUACAGUUUCUUCAAGAAAAUACCCCAAUGGAAGAAAAAAAGGUGGAGGGAGAAACUGAAUGAAGAAAGGAUGAUUUGAAAUUACCAGAAAGUGGAACGUGGAAAAAACAGAGUAAAACUAGUUUGAGAAUAAAAUCUUAGGUUGUAACAUCUUCUGGGAAUUUAUUCUUUAAAUAUUGCUUUUAACUGGAUUCUUUGGUAAAUAGUAAAUGCAUUUUGGUUUUGAUUUAAGCAGCUCAUUCUUUUGUUUCUUCACUUCUCCAAUAAACUUGCUCUCACUUAAAAAAUGCCUUGUAGAACAACUCAUGAUAAUUAUUACUGUUGGGAAAUAGGAGAA
rnacentral:lncRNA from 1 species